rnacentral:rRNA from 1 species
AGUGCUUACUGCAUUUUUUUACACAUGUGUUUUUCUUUUUUUUUGAAAACUUUGCUUUGGUGGGCCCAUGGCCUGCCAGAGAUUAAACUCAACCAAAUUUUAUUUAAGUCAACUGAUUAACUAAUAGUCAAAACUUUCAACAACGGAUCUCUUGGUUCUCGCAUCGAUGAAGAACGCAGCGAAAUGCGAUAAGUAAUAUGAAUUGCAGAUAUUCGUGAAUCAUCGAAUCUUUGAACGCACAUUGCGCCCUUUGGUAUUCCAAAGGGCAUGCCUGUUUGAGCGUCAUUUCUCCCUCAAACCUUCGGGUUUGGUGUUGAGCGAUACGCUGGGUUUGCUUGAAAGAAAGGCGGAGUAUAAACUAAUGGAUAGGUUUUUUUCCACUCAUUGGUACAAACUCCAAAAUUCUUCCAAAUUCGACCUCAAAUCAGGUAGGACUACCCGCUGAACUUAAGCAUAUCAAUAAGCGGAGGGAAAAGAAA